rfam:Gorilla gorilla gorilla genomic chromosome, chr8, whole genome shotgun sequence
GUGCUCACUUCAGCAGCACAUACAUUAAAAUUAGAAUGAUACAGAGAAGAUUAGCGUGGCUCCUGCACAAGGAUGACAUGUUUAAAAAAAAUUUUUUUU